rnacentral:misc_RNA from 1 species
GUGAAUCAUCGAAUUUUUGAACGCAAAUUGCACUCUCUUCGGAGAGUAUGCCUGUUUGAGGGUCAGCCUAAAAAAAAAUGGACAUAGUCGCUGUUUUGGCGUGGACAUUGGUCGGAAAUUGGUUCAUCUUAAACCUUUGGUUUUAAGGGGGCUUAAAAUUUUUUUAACGUAUUCCACGAACGUUUCAAGGUUUUAUUUCUUAUACACGUUUAAGGUAUGGAUUUUUAUUAGAUU